CCUACGGGAGGCAGCAGUAGGGAAUUUUCGUCAAUGGGCGCAAGCCUGAACGAGCAAUGCCGCGUGAACGAGGAAGGUCUUCGGAUCGUAAAGUUCUGUUGAAGGGGAAAAAGAGCGGAGAGAGGAAAUGGUCUCCGAUUGAUAUUACCCUUCGAGGAAGUCACGGCUAACUACGUGCCAGCAGCCGCGGUAAUACGUAGGUGGCGGGCGUUAUCCGGAAUGAUUGGGCGUAAAGGGUGCGUGGGCGGUCUGCUAAGUCUGGGGUGAAAGGUACCGGCUCAACCGGUACAGGCUCUGGAAACUGGCGGGCUAGAGAGCAGGAGAGGGCGGUGGAACUCCAUGUGUAGCGGUAAAAUGCGUAGAUAUAUGGAAGAACACCAGUGGCGAAGGCGGCCGCCUGGCCUGUUACUGACGCUGAGGCACGAAAGCGUGGGGAGCAAAUAGGAUUAGAUACCCGAGUAGUC
rnacentral:rRNA from 1 species